rnacentral:rRNA from 1 species
UACGAAGGGGGCUAGCGUUGUUCGGAAUUACUGGGCGUAAAGCGCACGUAGGCGGAUUGUUAAGUCAGAGGUGAAAUCCCGGAGCUCAACUUCGGAACUGCCUUUGAUACUGGCAAUCUAGAGUCCGGAAGAGGUUAGUGGAAUUCCCAGUGUAGAGGUGAAAUGCGUAGAUAUCAGGAGGAACACCGGUGGCGAAGGCGGGUCUCUGGGCCGAUACUGACGCUGAGGUGCGAAAGCGUGGGGAGCAAACGGG